AAAACAAAAACCUUUAAAAAUAAUGUACCGCCGGUAGAGAUGAUUAUUAACGCCAUAAAUGUUGGUGCAGGAAGGGAAUAAAACAGGUUCAAUGGAAUAUCGAUAAUCCUAAAAAAACUUGUGAAAAAAUCUAAGUUAAAUCUAAUCACUAUCCAAAAAUUUAUUGGCAGAAGCACCCAGAUACAGGCGUAGAGUGUUAGGGGAGCAAUUUACCAAUUUGCAGCGAACCUUUUUGCGCCCUGCUUCAUCGUGAGCACGUAGUCGAUGACAGCCCCCAAAGGCAAAAUAAUAAGGCUUCCCACUCUUUUUAAACGUUAAAACAUCAACAGGAGGAAGCUCACCAGCUUCCAAAUCUUCUGAAGUCAAACCGCAUGAAGCUGGAGGAGUUUUCCCUGUCAUGGUUUCCAUCAUACUAUUGACUUUGUUCAUAUCUAAAACAGGAGGUAUAGGACGAAUUAACUCAGACAUAUCAAGCUCAACAAUGUUGUUAUUUGAGCCAGUGUGAAUCGAAGUCAUGAUGGUUAAAAAUGAAUGAAAGAAAGAAUAUAAAAAAGAUAAAGUGAACAGAAAUUUUUAUAAAUAGAACAGAAAAUUAUAAAAAAAGGCAAGUUAAUAAGAAUGGAAAAGUGGAUAUUGAUAUCGAGUAUAUUUACUCCUUGAUCUGAUAUCGUUUCCUGUUGUACUAAUGAUCUGCCCCACAACCUAUCUUAUCCCGGUAUGUAUA